rnacentral:misc_RNA from 1 species
CAGCCAUUAGCAAUCUCAUAUAGACCUUCGUCACCAACCACAGGCAAAUUCCACAAGGAAAGAGCCCUAAGUGAAGGGCAGCCACGUGCAAUUGCCCUCAGGCCUACAUUUGUCACCCCAUGGCCAGAAUUGUUUCCACGGAUAGAAAGCUUGCCCAAACCCCCUCGACUAGCAGUUCCAACCGCAAUAGCUGCAAGUCUAAUAUCAGUGGCCUUCUUCCCCUCAAGCUCCUGGAAAGGUAUCCCUCACCCUCAAUUUCUUGGUCUUCAGCCUCAGAUUUCACCUCACCAGCCUUUUCAACUGAUUCAUUCAACAACUGGGUAGUUUUCUUGCUGCAGAGUUCAGCCCUGGACAUAUUGCUCAUAAGAGAAAGCCAGCGCUUUGAAACACAAG